AGAGAUUAAAGGUUUACUUGAGCAUCCCUCAUUUCCUUCUAAUUCCUAUGUUUUAGAGUAGUGGUUCAUUCAGCUUUCACCGUUGGUUAAAGUUUUGUGACUAUGAUGGUUGAUCUCUGUAUCUAGGUGUCUGGAAAUACACCAAAAUGGUAUCCUCCUCUACGGUUUGAAUCUUCUGCCUUCUCAGGACUUUGACUUCCCUUAGCAUGGACUCAGACUCCAGAAGAAACAACAGUGCAGCAAUAUCUAAAAAGUGUCAUCAAGGAAACCACUGUGGAUAAUCAAAGAUAGGAAUGGGUUUCAGAGGUUUCAGGUCAGAGCGCCAUGGAUCUAUUGUUUCUGGUCCUGCAGUGAGGAAGAACAUCAUGUGGGAAGUGUGGAGUGGAGAAAAGAUGCUUACUUCAUGGUGCUGGCGAGCACAGUGGAGAGAGAGUGAAAGAGAGCUCGCUUUUAUAAAAAAGUUUCUCCCAUGAAACCCUUGGAUUUUCAUCAGGCUUUUCCUAAGCACCAUUUAAUCAUGCAACCUUCUUUCAAUGCUUUGGAAGGAUUAAUGUUUCACAGUCCUUAGCUGGACAUAAUAGUUGAAGUCUUAUUGUAAGACCGGGGGCCUUACCAAACGCUCCGAGGAGCUGACUGUAGUGAAGCACACCCAGGGAUCCCAGCGGUGCCUCCAGAAUGUAAGACCAACAGCCUUACCAAACGCUCCGAGGAGCUGACUGCAGCGAAGAACACCCGGGAAGGAACACACCGGACAAGUUGGAAAAUAAAACAGACCUUUAUUAGUCUGGCCAGACGGCACUCCCAAAGCAAAAUAUCUUAGAGAGGCAGCUGGCUCAGAGUCCGAGGCUGUUUUUAUAGGGGGUUGAGGGGAAAGUUAACAUAUAGAAUUAAAGAAAAGGGGACAAAGGUUAGUGGUCGACUGUCAUGUAUUGAUGGUCAGCAGACAUUUGCAGCUUGUUCUAAAAAUUGUGGUGUCCGGAACAUCAGUUCCGGGCAAACAAGGAGUUGAGUAGUUUACUUUGGGACUUUAGGUUUGUUACAGAUUUUUAUCUAGUGUCCCAAAACUAACAAGCAUCUUUAUCCAUUAACUCACAUUUAAUCACAAUGGGGCUGGAGAAAAGGAACAAAGGUUAUGCAGUCCCACAUUAUAAUCAUUUAUUUCUUCAUCUUCUUUCAUUAUUUUUAGCUCUUAUUUUAUUUACUAAUAGAUUGUCUUUCCAUUCCUUUCCACCUUAUUUUUGCUUGUAUUAUACAAAACUUAUCUUUGGUCUAAUAUAAUUAUUUAUUGAUUCUUAUUUCACUAUGCCUAUAAGGAAGUGGAUUUCUUUUCUUUCUUUUCUAUGACAUGAUAGGAGGAAAGGAUUGCUCAGAGGAAAUGGUGUUUUGUAUUUGUAACGGUAUCUAGGCUCUGCUGUCAUGUCUCAAAUUUUCUUAAUGUUCUGUAUUGAGACUAUCUAAUAUGGAAAGUUAUCUUCUGUAACAAGUAAUUUUCAAACCUUGGAGAUUUUAUACAAUAAAAGAUUAUCUUGGAGAUUUAAUACAACAAAAGGUUAUUGUAGAUGGGCAUGGUGGUGCAUGCCUGUAUUCUGAGCUACUCAGGAGGGUGAAGUAGGAGGAUCACAGAUUCAAGGCCAGCCUGGGCAACUUAAUGAAAUUCCAUCUCAAAAUAAAAAAAUAAGAAAAGGCUACAGGGAUAGCUCAGUGGUAGAGCAUCCCUGGGUUUGAUCCCCAGUACUAGAAAAAAAAUGUUUAUUGUAGUUCACCUAUGUUAUAGUCCAAUGAAGGUACUGUAGGGAAUAGGUUUAGUCAUUUAGGAACUAAAUACCUUCUCUUUUGUGAGGCUACCAUCUUCAACACAUGGCCUCCAAAGUCACUAUGGAAAGGAAAGACAACAUGGAAGACCUAGCACGGAUC
ensembl:lncRNA